UGAAAACGCGUGAGAAAACUGAAAAUGUGCAGGGUAAUCGGAUACACAGAAUGAAAAAUUGUGAUUUCAGGCAAAAACAUACAAGGUAACCGAUUACUCAAAGGGAAGUAACCGGUUACACAGAAUGAAAAUUCGUGGGUCAGGUAAAAAUAUGAAGGGUAAUCGAUUAUCCAAAAAGAAGUAAUCGAUUACAUAGAGUGAAAAAAU
rnacentral:lncRNA from 1 species